rnacentral:rRNA from 1 species
CUACGGGUUGCAGCAGUGAGGAAUAUUGCACAACGGGGGGAACCCUGAUGCAGCAACGCCGCAUGGAGGAUGACGCAUUUCGGUGUGUAAACUCCUUUUAUAUGUCAAGAAAAUGACGGUAGCAUAUGAAUAAGCACCGGCUAACUCCGUGCCAGCAGCCGCGGUAAUACGGAGGGUGCAAGCGUUACUCGGAAUCACUGGGCGUAAAGGGAGCGUAGGCGGGUUGGAAAGUCAGGUGUGAAAUCCUACAGCUUAACUGUAGAACUGCACUUGAAACUUCUAAUCUAGAGUAUGGGAGGGGGAGAUGGAAUUAGUGGUGUAGGGGUAAUAUCCGUAGAUAUCACUAGGAAUACCUAAAGCGAAGGCGAUCUCCUGGAACAUUACUGACGCUAAGGCGUGAAAGCGUGGGGAGCAAACAGGAUUAGAUACCCCAGUAGUC